rnacentral:antisense_RNA from 1 species
AAACUCUGCCUGCUCUUGGAACUAUGCCUCAACAUCUCUCCUGAUACUUGGAUGCUUUUCCUCUGACUGAUGAAGAUCCUGAAUACCAGAGAGGGCCGCUGACAGGUCCAGGAUUACCCUUCUAGCACCUAGCAGAGGGAGGAUUCACCACAUCAUGCUUCCUGACAUCUCUCCCUUUGAAGAGCAGUCAGACUCCUGCUUUGCUCUUCAGACUUUGUUUGGGGGUUUAACAGCCAUGUGAAGUGCUCACUACCCCUUUGCCUUCUGCCUUGAUUGUAAGUUUCCUGAGGCCUCCCCAGAAGCUGAGCAGAUGCUUCCUGUACAGCCUGCAGAACUAUUUGAAUGAGAGUGGGAGAAGCACAUUUCCAAUCAUUGGGGGAACCUGAGACUAUUCUCUCCAACCCAUUUUGCCAAAUGGAUGUCCUGAGGAAGGUGUUCCAAGAGAGGUGAUGUCAGGAUAGUG